GCUUGGAUGCUCCGUCUCAGAUGGCGGUGUUUGGCAGAAAUCAGUGAUUUUUCAGAAUGUCGGAAGGUGCCUACAGCUGGCACUAGUGUAUUUUGUCUCUUCAAAGCGCCUACGAACAGUCCUUUGCUUUUCCAGACACGAGUAAGCUUAGGAAUGCUUUGCUUCACUCUAGGUCAGGCUGCCUGCAGAUAUAGACCCUUUCCUCUGCUGCCUUGUUGCCAGUUACAUUAAACACAGUACAUGACAAGAGUUUAUUAAUACUGUACUAUAGUCAACAUCCGUGCGAGCACAUAAAAUGGCUCCCAUGCAGAAAAAGAUUGAAAAGAAACGCAGUAAGAAAAAGGAGAUGAUUACAGUGGAAGUUAAGAAGGAAAUCAUCGAGAAGUAUGAACGAGGUAUGCGAGCGGUCGAAAUUGCAAGAUUUCACAAGAAGUCUAUGUCUACCUCUUGCCUGCAGAGGAGGAGGAGAGAAAGGUGGAGGAACCCCUCACUUCAAAUGAGAUUAGGGAGAUGCGUAAAAUUUGGGAAACUGCAAAAUUUCGUGGAAAAGCACCACCUGAAUAAGGCUGUAGCAGGGCAAGCGAUGAAUCUGUUUACCGACAACGUGAUGUCACAUUUCCACAAAGUCCUCAAAAGGAGGCAAAAGCAAGUGUCACUGGACAGUUUCCUUGUUAAAGUUGAACGAAGAGAAAAGGAUUCCAUCGAGCCAAUAGAUAGCAGUGAUUCCGUUAGUGAUAGUGAAAACUGUCCUACACAAUAACCCUCCUCUCUUGUCUCCUUCACACCCGCACAAAGGUUUUCAAAGUUUGCGAAGAAUCAUCACCUCCCUGUUAAAGGUGAAGAAAGUGACAUGGGACAUGAUGUGACUGGCCAACUAAUCAUCCUAAGUGAUGUGGCCUCUGGAAGGGGCAGUUCUGUCAGAAGGCAGUCUGUCCCCGAUGUUGGCAGAAGGCUGACAGGUCUGGCUGCAGGAGACCCUGAGUACUUACUGCUGUCCAUCAAGCAAGGGAAAGGACCACCUCACAUGUCCAAACGGGGCUGGAUGUUGUCAAAUUCCUCGCGGCUGUCAGUCUCCUUUUCUCCAGCCUGGUGACAGGUGUCCCGACAGAGCCCAGUUACCAAAGGCAGUCACCGACUGCUUGCACGCCUUCCAGAGGAGCUCGUGUUCCAGCAUCAAAGACUGAAGCUUGUGCAUUGAGGUAACGAGCUGCUCCCAGGCAGGGACUGACUCACUUAUUUACCAGACUUUCUCCUUUUCCUCGACAAUAGUGCCAGCCCUUAAGAGCUGCUCAGUAAAUGUCUUUUGAAUGGACUAAGGCACAAGCAUCUGGUGCUUCCAAUGCUAUCAGCUUUAAUAAACACCAUUGAGUGGCAUCUUGUGAAGAUUAGCUAAAACAACCUGGCAGCGUCAGCGGGUAGUUAUUUUGGUCCCCGUUUUAUUUAGGAGGAAUCUGCAAGAAGUUAAGUAACUUGCUCAAGAGGCACAAAGCUUGUUAAUGGCAGAGUUGGGAUCUGAACUCUGGUCUGUCCAUUUCCACACCGCGGGGAGUUUGGUGCACGUCACUGAGAAGCACUGUGGCACUGAUACCCUGCAAAGAGCCGUGGAAACACAGAAGUCGCUGCUUACAACAGUCUUCACAGAGGAAAUACUGCAAGUUUUGUGAGCUGCAUAUUGAGAUGCAUUCUGCAAUGUGGAGAAGGGCCGGGGGGCAUUCAAGUCAGCGCUGCAUUUGCAAAAGGCAGAGCAUGGGUAGGAAGAAGCGAGACUGUGCGGCUGCACACAGGGAACGGGUUCUAAGUCAGGCAGGUAAGAGGAUGGGGGAUGAUGUGCUCAGGCAAGUUAGAGUCAGAGUAUAGGUGAGGCACGAUUCUAUCCAACUUGGACAGCUUCCGGAGAAUUCUAUAAUAAGCCAGCUGCGUGGCCGGAAUGUGCACUUGUCUUUGCAGAGUUUGGCAGUGGAGCAAAAUCUUCUGGGGAAUAGUUCUCCUGGAAGGGAGACCCCUCCCUUCCCCCCACCUUCUUUGCCACCAGUACAGCAAACGUGUGACCUCCAGCAGUGUACCUUCCAGAAGAAAUACUAGUUAAAUUCUCUUAAGGAACUUAGGCAACCAAUUGGACCCUUAAGGUCUUUGGGUUUCCUGCUUAUAAAGGUUCUGUCUUUGAUGUCCUCAUUGCUGGUGGCAGCUGCAUGGUUUGUGGAAGUCGAUGUCCCUUUUCUCAUCUCUGCAGAUUGAGGACACCACAAAAGAACGCUGCGGGGCGUACAGCCACAAACUUGACAUUUCUAGCUCCGGAUCUGCACAGGCAAUGGCUGUGCUGCAGGGACUGUCCCCUGUGCCUACUCCCUGGUCAUCUGAGCGGAUCUGUAUUGCUGUUUGGAAAUAUCAGCCUCUGUUGCACAUCUUCCAACCAGCUGGCCGGAGUGGGAGGUGGAGUCCCUUGCUAUGAAACAGAGCUUUACUUUGCUGAUAACGUGUGUCCGUAAUGUAUUGAAGGUAACUUAGAAAUGCUGUGAGCCCAAACUUCAUUUUAUGGAGGAAAAUAACGGAGGCUCAGAGACGUAGAGUGUCACGCUCGGGGUCACCCAGCAGCCCUGCCUUGUCCUAUGCAGUAGCCACUCCCCUCCUGUGCCCACGAAGCCCUUGAAAUGGGGCCAGUCUGGCCGGAGUGUGCUUUCAGUGUAAAUACACACAGGAUUUCAUGGACUCCGUAGGAA